rnacentral:rRNA from 1 species
GUGUCAGCAGCCGCGGUAAGACGAACCGUGCGAACGUUGUUCGGAAUCACUGGGCUUAAAGGGCGCGUAGGCGGCCCGCCGCGUCCGGGGUGAAAUCCUCCCGCUCAACGGGAGAACGGCCUCGGAUACGGGCGGGCUGGAGGGGGGUAGGGGCACGCGGAACUGUGGGUGGAGCGGUGAAAUGCGUUGAGAUCCACAGGAACUCCGGUGGCGAAGGCGGCGUGCUGGACCCCAUCUGACGCUGAGGCGCGAAAGCCAGGGGAGCGAACGGGAUUAGAUACCCGGGUAGUCC